GAGAAGUGUCUGAGUGGCCGAAAGAGCGCGAUUGCUAAUCGUGUGUACGGAUGCCCCGUACCGAGGGUUCGAAUCCCUCCUUCUCC
rnacentral:ncRNA from 14 species